CUGUGUCUUGCUUCAACAGUGUUUGGACGGAACAA
rfam:Rattus norvegicus chromosome 6, whole genome shotgun sequence.